rnacentral:rRNA from 1 species
CCUACGGGGGGCAGCAGUGGGGAAUAUUGGACAAUGGGGGCAACCCUGAUCCAGCCAUGCCGCGUGUGUGAAGAAGGCCCUCGGGUUGUAAAGCACUUUCAGUGAGGAAGAACGCCUGGUGGUUAAUACCCAUCAGGAAAGACAUCACUCACAGAAGAAGCACCGGCUAACUCCGUGCCAGCAGCCGCGGUAAUACGGAGGGUGCGAGCGUUAAUCGGAAUUACUGGGCGUAAAGCGCGCGUAGGUGGCUUGAUAAGCCGGUUGUGAAAGCCCCGGGCUCAACCUGGGAACGGCAUCCGGAACUGUCAAGCUAGAGUGCAGGAGAGGAAGGUAGAAUUCCCGGUGUAGUGGAGAAAUGCGUAGAGAUCGGGAGGAAUACCAGUGGCGAAGGCGGCCUUCUGGACUGACACUGACACUGAGGUGCGAAAGCGUGGGUAGCAAACAGGAUUAGAUACCCCGGUAGUC